AUGAACAAUAUUUAUAUAGCAUUAAUUUAUGUCAGUUAAUAUUCCAAACUUAAACAUUAAAACAUUGUUUUAUUGUGAUUUUUUUCCAAGCACAUUUUACCAAUUCCAAACCAUAUCAAUCUUAAUAACUACCAUUAUUUUUUAUUUAAUCAUUUAUGAGUGCUAUACAAUAGUCCAGGAAAGCUGUAAGAGAAAAACUCCUUAUAUUCAUGUGCAGAAUUAUUAGGCUGUUUUCUUUUACAGAUGAAAUGCGCUAAAAAAGAGUUUUAACUCAAACUGUUUUAACUCAAAGUCGAAAAUUAUGAAAUACCCAUGAGAAAUAUCAAACACAAAUGCAAUACAGAAAUGGAUAAGUUAAGACUUGACCAUUGUACAAAAAUGCUGACUGGGUCAUGAGGUCAGAAAAGAAGAAGAAGAAAAAAAACAGGUCAAGAAGAACUGACAAAAAUAAUUGCAAAAUAAUUAGGAAUUAAUGUGAAGAUUAAUUUUUAGUCAAUUCUGCAAGACAGACUUUCAGGAAAGGAGGUGGAAUAAAAAUGAGCUCCUAAAUCUUAAUCCCGGAUUCUGGAAGAUAUAUUCCUCAAACCAUCGGACAAGAGGAGGUGGUGCUGGUCCUUCACAAGUCACUCUAAUCUGUUCAAAAAGCCUAUAUAUAAAGUCUUAAUAUAUAGUAUUUCACAAUACUUCAUGGUAUUCUAAUUAAAUCAUUUUUUGGAAUCUUAGAUCUCUCAGAACGUGACACAUUGUAAUUCUGAGACUCCAGGAAAGUGGCAGUUUUGUAAAAUGUUGGCGAUGGAGACUAAAUGCUCCCUGAUAGUUUCACACCUAAUUCACUUAACACACACACACACACACACACACACACACACACACAGACACAUUACCCACAGUGACAGAGGGACAGAGUGACAUCAGAUGUAUGAUAGUUUUUUAAUUUUCUAUCAUCCAUAUAGUGUUGUAUAGUCAUGAAACCAUGCAUAUUUCCUCAGAAUGACUUGUCUUCUAUGUGUACAUUUUUUUGAAGUGUUUAGAAGCUGCACUUAAAAAAAGUAAAGACAUUUACCGGUUACUUUUUUAUUGUUAUUUCAAAAAAUCACCACGACAAGACCAUUCAAGCCAUUCAAAAUUCAUCCGCACCUGUACUGUUAGAUACAUUCUUUAAACAGUGGUAAAAGAGGAUGUGGUGCUGAUCCUUCAAGAGUCACUCAAAACGUAUUUGUCCAUAAAGCCUAUAAAGAAUUAUUCUUAAUAUACAGUUCACAAUACUUCAGCUUGUUAUUCUAAUUAAGUGAGGGUCAUUUUAUCAGUAAAAUACAUAAAAUUCAUAUUAUUUUUCUUUGAAAGAUUACUAUAAAUGAUUUAAAUCAUACUUGUUUCUACAAUAAUUAUUUAAAAGUAAUCCUAUAGCGCCAUCUGGUGGCCAUUAUUGGUACUAAGAAUUGCAAGCUUGAUUUAUAUGUUAUGAUAGUUUUAAUUUUAUGCUGGCUCUUGAAAAUGAUAAAGCUAUGAAACUUACUGUGCUUCCUUCAAAUGAUGACUUCUACGUAUAUAAAAAAUUAUGAAGAGUUGGAAUUAAAAAUUUUAAAGAUAUAGUAAAAUAACUAUUGUAUUUUUUUAUGUUACUUUAAUAAAUCGCUAUGGCCACACCAUUUAAGGUAUCCUAAACCCAUUCGAAAUUUAACAUCUUCAGUAUAUUGGCUUCAUGUUAAAAAAGUUUGGUGUGAACUACUUGUGUCUUCUUGGAGGAGUAUGAAUUCAUUUACAGGCUGAGUUUAUCAUAAAUCCACAAUAACAUUUCUGAGUUCUGUAUCAAUCUGUGUUGUUUGUUUAUUUUUUUUAAUUUUUUUUUUCAUAGGAAGAUAACUGACCCUUUAUUCUCCUUUUUAAUAAAUGUGCUUAUAAACCAAGAACAAGCUAUUUAUAGCUGUAUUUAUAAACUGCUUACUACUGACUAUUAAUAUUGGGACAAGGCUUUAUAAAGCAUGAACUGACUAUUUACUAAUGAGUGCAGUUAUUAUAAAGUGUUAUCAAUGCAUUUGCUAAUGUUAACAAAUUAGACAU